UGAAACAUGUAGAUGCAAUGGGCGCAGGAUAAACAACGGUGGAGAUUUUUUUCUACAGCCAUGUUUGGCUGUCAAGAACUAACUUGAUGUAUUCAUUAAGUGAUGAGCCAUCGACAGGUUGUGUAGAUCACAAAGAAGAUAAAAGAUGGCUACUGCAACCAAAGAGACACGGGGUCUAUCACCAAGUAAACAUCCCCGUUUGGCCUCUCCUUUUUACCAGGAUUUGAUGAAAAAAUACUCUCAUGUCUUUGAAAAGCAACAGAGUCCAGAUAGAAUUAGGUCAAGGCCAUCAUCACGGGGACCACAGGGUGAGACUGCAGGGUCAAGGUUAUUACAUAGCAAUGGUUCAGUUUCAGACCCUUUAAGGUCAAGGCCAUCAUCAAGGGGACCACAGGGUGACACAGCAGGGUCAAGGUUAUCACAUGAUAAUGAACUAAUCAUAAACAGUAUUGGGUCCUCCUCGUCGUUAAAUGGAUCACAGGGUCGAGCCAGGUCAGAGAGCCAACAAAAUUCUUCAAGCAAUUCAAAGUCAUGUCCAUCAAGAAUUGCUGCUGCUGCAUCAAUUUCUCCAAAGACCUCACCAUUGACAAAACUCUCCUUAAUAGGGGAUAGAACAUUGGCAGCUCGGCCUUCAAGUGCCUGCAGUCUUCCAUAUAAAUCAACUGAUGAUGUGGCUGGCCAUUCUAGUGAAUAUGUUGGCCAAGUUGUGCCCAGGCCAGGUAGUGCCAGCAUCUUUGAGAAAAAUUCGUUCAAAUCUCCAGAACACUCUCCCCACCGUUCUCCACUCACUGACUCCACAAACAAACCAAUAUUGAACUCCCCAGAGGGUCCGCAUGAUCAUUCAGCCAUCUCGUUAAAAGAAAAAUUAAGACGUAAUUCUCAGACUCUUAAAGAGCUUCUUGAUUCCCCAUUGAAAACAAGACUAAGGAAUUUAUCCAAAGAAAGACCCCCAAGUAGAAAGACUGAUCAUGGAAAUUCACAAAAUUCUCAAAAUUGCCAAAUUAAUGAAAGUGAAAAUGAAAUCUCAUCUGAAGGAAGGACUUCCAAGUUACAGAAUCUCAAAAGCAGAUUGAUUUCAAGAGAAGAGGGUUUACUGACUAGAAACAGUGAAGAGCCGAGAGGUCGGCCUAGGCAGAGACAUGAAUAUAAGACAAGGUUGGCUAGCCCAGACUCUCAUGAUAGUGCUGUGGAAAUUGAUAAUGGAUCAGUUAAUUCAAAUCCAUCAUUAGAUAUUUCUCCAUGUGAAAACCCAUCCACAGAAUCAUCCGGCAAAUCUGGAAAACUGUCAUCCCUAUCACCAGGUGGUGCUAAUGGUUUGAUCAAGACGGACCAGCUUGAAGAUCUGCUCUUGAAACAGGCUCUACAGAAUGACUUACAGAAAUCAAUAGCUGGGGAAGAGACAGUUGUCACUCAAAACAAAGAUUCAGAUGCAGACUCUGGUAUUGCUCAAGCCUAUCAAAAGCCAAAGUUGCAUUUGGUGCGAGGUGACUCUGUCUCAUCAACCGAACAGGAGAGCUUGCUGUCUCCAAGACAUGAAUUAAGUGUCUUGUCACCCAAGAUGUCUCCCGGGGUGAACAUCUCCCUGGCCAAGAGUAACUUCAGGAACACACAGAAAACUUUGACCAGCCAAGGUGGCAGGUGUGGUCCUCUCAAGGCUGACCACAACAUACAGCUGGUCGUGUCAUCAAAACACAGGGACAGUGCCAUAGCAGAAGAAGCCUUGAGUGAAAAGCUGAAAUGGUAUCAACAAGGUGCUAGACCUAAAAACUCGACAGGUUUGUCUUUAGAAUUUUCUGAUCAGCGCCACCUUCAGGCAGCAGAUUAUGGUGAUGAUGAGCUUGAUGACUCAGAUCCAAGGUUAGGCAUAUCACAUGAUAUUAGUCUUGAAACUGGAGGAGACCAGCAAACUUCCAGUGUGAGUUCCAAAGCUUCCAUUCCACCUUCCCUCAAUGGGUUGAGACACUCAUUCACAGGCCAACAACAAGCAAGUCAGGGUAAUUUCUGUGGAGAAAUAUCUCAAGAAUUAACACUUAGUGGCAGCAAUAGUUUGGACAGUUUAUUACCUGCCUCAAAACGAAAAAGAUCUAGAUCUGCAGAUCGUCCUGCCAGUAGAAACAGGGAUUCCACAUUUAGUUAUAGCUAUGACAGUCCCAAAAGUAACAGUGUAAGUGAAACUGAAGUGUCCCCAGGAGACAGAGGGAAGGAUUCAGUCAUGUCUGAAAAACUUCACUUAUUCAAUGGGCUCCCAGUGCAUGAUGGCCCACCCAAACCACCGCAGUACCCAGCCUUAGCUUCAUCCGUGUCAGGAAAGUCAAAAUCACAGUCUUAUCUCCGCGAGCCACAGCCUCUAAAUACAAGUCAAGGUCAGUUUAGGAAACAUCACUCAGCGGGAGAUUUAUAUGCCAAAACCAAUGGACAUCUAACAAAUGGGCAUGAGAUUGAUACUUAUGGAUGGAUUGAUUCCCAACAGAGGAAACUUUUUGAUGACUUGAUGUCAAAUCCACCUGUUGCUGAUGAUAAACUUGAAGAGAAUCCCUCACAUUUGGAACAUUCAUUUGACGAGGAAGUUUCCUACAUAUCAAGUAAAGGAAAAAAGAUGAAAAGUAUUUUAAAAAGAAAAAAAGGCAGUUAUUCUCCCUCCAAUGAAGAUGAUGCGGAGAGCAAUAUUUCUAGUCAAGAUGUCACAACCCAGAACCGACCUCCGUCCAGGGCUCGGAGUGAGGGUGGUCAGCGCAGCAGGGAACCAAACAAAAAUAACAGACCCUCUUCAAGAGCAAGUGGAAGGCAUAGCGUUAACUUUGAUAUGGAAAAUUCCAGGGUUUAUAUUGAUGAAAAGCCAGUUGGUAGAGACAACAAGAGGGAUACCCCACAGUUUCUCAGUCAGGCUCAUGAUAAGGCUAGACCUGGAAGUGCACAGGCUGCCCCUUUCGGUUCUCAGGCUCAAACCACCUUUUCUCCCAGUCUUCCUCAAAACACGACUCAGGCUUAUCAUAUGUCUAGAUCUAGGACUCCAAAAUUAAAAUCUGCCAAUAAAACUGUUACCUUCCACCUUUCUCCAGAGAUGGCAGCACAGUCUGGACAGAGUCAAGAAGCUCUAGGUCCAUCUCAGCCAGUUGGAGGCUUAGAUAUCAAGUAUCUCCGGGAGUCCAGUGUAGAUGAUGGACAAGAAAUAAAACCGCAGAACAGUCACUUCUUAUCCAAUGGAUUCUCAGGAGAAGACCACGCAGAGAAAUUAUGGCUAGACCAUAAAGAUGGUGGUACUAAUGACUCAAGGUUAUUCAGUGGUAGUGUACCUGCAGACAGUGUCCAUGAGAGACCUUCAUCAAGAGCAGACAAACAAAAUCCACCACAAAAUAAAAGAGAAGGGUUAUCAACAGGCAAGGAUUCCAGGGCACCACAUUAUGAUACAGUAGAAUAUACCUGUCCCCCACAUAGUGAAAACCCCACAAAAUCCUCCAGUUCUGCUGCAAGAGUGACCCCAAGUGGCCUGUCUCUGUCAACAGAGGACGAUCCUUAUGAGACGGUGGAGGUUAUCACUGACCUUAGCAAUACAUCAGCAGCAGCAGAGGAGAACAAAAUGAAUUCUUCCUUUGGUUUAAACAGCAAGGGCCAAGUAAUGAGCAAACCACCAAGAAACCGUUCCAGACCAAAUAGUGCCGAUAUCAGUAAAGAACAUCAUCCAAAUCCUGAAGCUCCACCACCACAACCUGAGACUGGUGAUGCCAAUGUCAAACAGCCUAAUGGUACCACUAGUGCCAUCUAUGCUGUUGUUGACAAGUCAGCCAAGCUUCCAAGGAGUCGCACACCAGAUAAUGUGAGGAGUCGUACACCUGAUCCUUUGCCUGUCAGUAACCCCUGCAUUGUAGUGGGAGGAGAUGAUGAGAUUGAAGAACUUGACACACCAACUCUUCCAAGAAGGAGAUAUAGGAGCAAUCUGGAAGAGUCUAAGGAACUAAGUGGGUCAAGGUCAUCUCUAAUGGACCGUAUGGAAGGUCUCAGGAGAUCAGCAAAGAGCAAGUUUAAAGCAAUAAAGAGGGCCAUGAGCUUGGACAGGAUUGAUAAGAGUAGAGAGUCCACUGAUUCCAAGGAACCUGGAAAGGUGAAGGUCAAGAGAGCUCCGUCACUGCAAUCUCUCAGGCUGAGCUUCAGUAAGAAAAAAGAGGACAGACCCAGUAACCAAGCAGUGGAUAUUGAGGUUCCAGUAAAAGACAAGAAAUCCAAGAAAAGACCCUCCAGUGCCCAAACUCCCAAAAAGUCUUCCCAGCACCUGCGUCGUCACUCCAUCGCCUCACCGGAGGAAGUGGAGAGCCCCACACACGGGCGAGCCAUAGGGCGCCUCCUGUCGGUCAACUCUAAUGGGUCUCAGGUUAUAGAGCUGAUCAAACCACCACAUGGACCCUUUGGUUUCUAUAUUGCCAGAGGGAAUGCCAAGUUUAAGCAUGGUAUAUUUAUCUCCAGACUAAGUGACGGUUAUCCUGAAAAGUUUUUUGCUGGUUUGCUUAGUGUGGGUGAUGAGAUUCUGGAAGUGGAUACAAAACCCACCAAGGACCUUACCCUAGAUGACCUCUACGAUUUCAUGGCCACUAAGAAGAAAUUGGUUCUGAAGACAUUGCCUUUGUUAGCUAGGACUGACACUUAAAUAUAUGGGAGUGAAUGACAUUUCAUCUACUCUUAGUGAAUUCAUAUUAGCAAGUAAGAUUCACAAUCAUGUCUUGUCAUGAAUGAAAUGAGCAAUAUUUUCAUUGCUAUUGUUUAUGUCAAAGAAAUGAAUUUCGAUAAAAAAAUUUCCCCAGUAUCUGGUUGAUUUUCUCAGCUGGUGUACUCUGGGUAGAUCUUGAGAUUAUAACAUAGGGUUGUGACUUUCACAAUAUUUUGAUACAGUAUAUUCACCCACUCUUGCAUUCAUUAUUGUUAAACAAAUGCCUUAUAGUGCAUAUCAUGUUUUUUUGUCCAUGUUUUUGUCAGUGUUGUUUUUAUUAAGGGACCAAAUAUUAAGCACAGUUUGCCAUUCCACAGGUUUGUAGCUUAUGCUAAUAAGGGCAGUUUAGUUGUUUUCUCCUGCCUGAUAUUUAAUGUUAUAUUUUACCAAGCCAGUUGGCUUUGUAAAUUGAUAUUAUUGCUUUUUUAAGAUUUGCCAAUAACUGACAAGGAAAACUAUUAAAAGACCUAUUUUGUCUCCUAGUUAAUAUUGAGGCAUAUUCCAAGGGUACAACUAUAAAAGUUUUUUGAAAAAAGACAAAUGUCGCCAUUCUUUAGAUUGAUGAUGUUGGUACAAUUUAUGCACUGCUUUCCGUCCUGACUUUAUACUCUUUGCACAGAUCUAUGCAUUUCUCACUGUUAAGGAUUUUGUUUUAAAUUUUGUAUAAAUACAGUUGUUUACAUGAUCACCGUCCUAUUUGUUCUAUUUCUAGCACAAAUAUAUUCAGUAGUGUUACUAGUGUGCAUGUAUUUUUAUACAAGUGUUUUAAUAUAUAUAUUGCUGUUAGUUUUAUCACUUUAUUCCACUGCCCAUAUUGUGUCAGCCUAAUGUUGAUGUUAACUAUUAGUUAUACUUGAACAGUGUAGGCAGAUCUUCGGGGGAAGGGGGGGAGAUUUGUUUAUUUAUUGUUAUUUUUAAAAAUAAUUAUUAUUAUUUAGUUUUGAUUAUUUAUUGCUUUGCUUGAAUCAGUGUAAUGCUUUGAGGCUAUUUUAUUGCCAUCCCAUAUUUUGGACUGUUUAUUAAUCCUUUCUGUGGAUUUCAAAUACUUUUUUCAGUAGGUUGUGAUUUUUUGUUGCUCUUUUCACUGGGUCCAAAGGUUUGAAAUGUCACAUAUCACUUAAAAAACAUUUCUUUUUUGAUUUCUUUAAAUGAUUAUUGUUGAUUCUUCAGCUUGUUUGUACAUUAAAGAAAAGAAGCAGUUCAGAGAGACAUGUGCAUGCUUCUCUAGAUCUGCCCUUGCACAAUACUUAUUGAACCAAAGAUCACAAAGUGCAAGUAACUGUAUUACAAUUCUGUCAUAUUUCUGUCCAGAUUUUAUAUUUAUGUCACUUUACUGGACUACUGUACAGUAUCUAAUUUAAAGAGUUUUAUUAUUAUUUAUUUGUUAGUUUGUUCACUUAUUUAUUUAUUUAUUCAUUGUUUAUUUAGUGGGCAUGCAGGGAAUAAUUUUAGCUUUUCUUUUGUGAAUAGAAAAUAUGUGCUUUUAGAAAUCACGUUAAUUUCAUGCAGAGCUUCCAGCCCUAUCUGUUGCAUUUAAUAUAUUUGUAAUAUAUAUAUCGUAUUUUUAGAUAAUUUACACGCUUAAUAGUAUUUUUAUAGCCAUUGUUGUGAGUUACAGUUGUGUCAUUAGCUUUUUAUGUCACAGUGUGCUUUUUCAUAUAUUUCAAGAAUUAUUACUGCAUUUCACAACAGAUUUAUGUGGCCUGUUGUCAAAUUGUAUCUCAACUUGUGGGUUUUAUUUUGUAUGCAUGCUUAAUUUCUUGAACAUUGUCAUCAUUCACCAUCCGGUCACAGUCUUGUCCUCCAGUGCAAAUUGAUUGCCGUCCCAGAAUUUCGUCUAUUUGUAAAUGCCUAUUGUGAAUUUGUAAAGGCCUUAUGGGAGGUUUUGAUUUUAUGUUACUCUUAUUACUGGGUCCAAUGUUUCAGAAAGUCACAUACUACAUGAAACCUCUCCAGAAAAAUUCACCCUUUUCUUUUCUUGUUUAAUAUUCUGUAUCUGUGGUCUUGGUUACCACUAAUAUGUUAUACAUGACCAAUGCAAUUUCAAUAAUGCAUCUGUUAUAGUCAUUAAAAUGCUACUUUUGUAGCCAGUAGAUGAAAUGUUAGCUUUACUUAUAUGAUUAGGUUUAUAGCAAAGAGAUUUAAUCAAAUAGAUCAUUUAUGCGUAGGAGACAUAUAUUUUUAAUGUUUAAGUUAUAAAGUACUUUCUCAUAAAUAGAUGAUUCCACUGUAAGCCUUCACUUAGUUGUUUAAACAUUGUUUAUUUUCAUAUACUGAUAUAUAAUAUAGAUUGUGUAUUAAUUUAUAGAUUCUUGUACAUAAAAGCUUACAAUGAAAACAUAUACAGUGUAGUGAGAUAACAAUUUCUUGCAUUACAAUAGAGAAAGAAAUAAGAUACCAGUUGUACAAAAAAUAUAUGUAAUCUGUAAACACUCAAUGAAAUAUUUACAUCUGUACAUUUAAUAUUUAGUUCAAUGUGUCAGUAAUAAGAGUGACUGAUCUGUUUCAAUAAACGUGCAUAUCCACAUUUCUAAAAACAAAUAAGUUCUUAUAUUUCAAAUAAGUCCUACACCGCGGUCGCCAAUUUACAGUGUAUGUACAUCCAAUCAAGAGGAAAGUUGUACUUAAAG
rnacentral:misc_RNA from 1 species